rnacentral:rRNA from 1 species
GAGUUUGAUCCUGGCUCAGAUUGAACGCUGGCGGCAGGCUUAACACAUGCAAGUCGAGCGGUAGCACAAGGGAGCUUGCUCCCUGGGUGACGAGCGGCGGACGGGUGAGUAAUGUCUGGGAAACUGCCUGAUGGAGGGGGAUAACUACUGGAAACGGUAGCUAAUACCGCAUAACGUCGCAAGACCAAAGAGGGGGACCUUCGGGCCUCUUGCCAUCAGAUGUGCCCAGAUGGGAUUAGCUAGUAGGUGGGGUAAUGGCUCACCUAGGCGACGAUCCCUAGCUGGUCUGAGAGGAUGACCAGCCACACUGGAACUGAGACACGGUCCAGACUCCUACGGGAGGCAGCAGUGGGGAAUAUUGCACAAUGGGCGCAAGCCUGAUGCAGCCAUGCCGCGUGUGUGAAGAAGGCCUUCGGGUUGUAAAGCACUUUCAGCGAGGAGGAAGGUGGUGAGCUUAAUACGCUCAUCAAUUGACGUUACUCGCAGAAGAAGCACCGGCUAACUCCGUGCCAGCAGCCGCGGU